rnacentral:rRNA from 1 species
GGUCAGCGACUUAUAUUCUGUAGCAAGGUUAACCGAAUAGGGGAGCCGAAGGGAAACCGAGUCUUAACUGGGCGUUAAGUUGCAGGGUAUAGACCCGAAACCCGGUGAUCUAGCCAUGGGCAGGUUGAAGGUUGGGUAACACUAACUGGAGGACCGAACCGACUAAUGUUGAAAAAUUAGCGGAUGACUUGUGGCUGGGGGUGAAAGGCCAAUCAAACCGGGAGAUAGCUGGUUCUCCCCGAAAGCUAUUUAGGUAGCGCCUCGUGAAUUCAUCUCCGGGGGUAGAGCACUGUUUCGGCAAGGGGGUCAUCCCGACUUACCAACCCGAUGCAAACUGCGAAUACCGGAGAAUGUUAUCACGGGAGACACACGGCGGGUGCUAACGUCCGUCGUGAAGAGGGAAACAACCCAGACCGCCAGCUAAGGUCCCAAAGUCAUGGUUAAGUGGGAAACGAUGUGGGAAGGCCCAGACAGCCAGGAUGUUGGCUUAGAAGCAGCCAUCAUUUAAAGAAAGCGUAAUAGCUCACUGGUCGAGUCGGCCUGCGCGGAAGAUGUAACGGGGCUAAACCAUGCACCGAAGCUGCGGCAGCGACACUGUGUGUUGUUGGGUAGGGGAGCGUUCUGUAAGCCUGUGAAGGUGUGCUGUGAGGCAUGCUGGAGGUAUCAGAAGUGCGAAUGCUGACAUAAGUAACGAUAAAGCGGGUGAAAAGCCCGCUCGCCGGAAGACCAAGGGUUCCUGUCCAACGUUAAUCGGGGCAGGGUGAGUCGACCCCUAAGGCGAGGCCGAAAGGCGUAGUCGAUGGGAAACAGGUUAAUAUUCCUGUACUUGGUGUUACUGCGAAGGGGGGACGGAGAAGGCUAUGUUGGCCGGGCGACGGUUGUCCCGGUUUAAGCGUGUAGGCUGGUUUUCCAGGCAAAUCCGGAAAAUCAAGGCUGAGGCGUGAUGACGAGGCACUACGGUGCUGAAGCAACAAAUGCCCUGCUUCCAGGAAAAGCCUCUAAGCAUCAGGUAACAUCAAAUCGUACCCCAAACCGACACAGGUGGUCAGGUAGAGAAUACCAAGGCGCUUGAGAGAACUCGGGUGAAGGAACUAGGCAAAAUGGUGCCGUAACUUCGGGAGAAGGCACGCUGAUAUGUAGGUGAAGUCCCUCGCGGAUGGAGCUGAAAUCAGUCGAAGAUACCAGCUGGCUGCAACUGUUUAUUAAAAACACAGCACUGUGCAAACACGAAAGUGGACGUAUACGGUGUGACGCCUGCCCGGUGCCGGAAGGUUAAUUGAUGGGGUCAGCGCAAGCGAAGCUCUUGAUCGAAGCCCCGGUAAACGGCGGCCGUAACUAUAACGGUCCUAAGGUAGCGAAAUUCCUUGUCGGGUAAGUUCCGACCUGCACGAAUGGCGUAAUGAUGGCCAGGCUGUCUCCACCCGAGACUCAGUGAAAUUGAACUCGCUGUGAAGAUGCAGUGUACCCGCGGCAAGACGGAAAGACCCCGUGAACCUUUACUAUAGCUUGACACUGAACAUUGAGCCUUGAUGUGUAGGAUAGGUGGGAGGCUUUGAAGUGUGGACGCCAGUCUGCAUGGAGCCGACCUUGAAAUACCACCCUUUAAUGUUUGAUGUUCUAACGUGGACCCGUGAUCCGGGUUGCGGACAGUGUCUGGUGGGUAGUUUGACUGGGGCGGUCUCCUCCUAAAGAGUAACGGAGGAGCACGAAGGUUGGCUAAUCCUGGUCGGACAUCAGGAGGUUAGUGCAAUGGCAUAAGCCAGCUUGACUGCGAGCGUGACGGCGCGAGCAGGUGCGAAAGCAGGUCAUAGUGAUCCGGUGGUUCUGAAUGGAAGGGCCAUCGCUCAACGGAUAAAAGGUACUCCGGGGAUAACAGGCUGAUACCGCCCAAGAGUUCAUAUCGACGGCGGUGUUUGGCACCUCGAUGUCGGCUCAUCACAUCCUGGGGCUGAAGUAGGUCCCAAGGGUAUGGCUGUUCGCCAUUUAAAGUGGUACGCGAGCUGGGUUUAGAACGUCGUGAGACAGUUCGGUCCCUAUCUGCCGUGGGCGCUGGAGAACUGAGGGGGGCUGCUCCUAGUACGAGAGGACCGGAGUGGACGCAUCACUGGUGUUCGGGUUGUCAUGCCAAUGGCACUGCCCGGUAGCUAAAUGCGGAAGAGAUAAGUGCUGAAAGCAUCUAAGCACGAAACUUGCCCCGAGAUGAGUUCUCCCUGACCCUUUAAGGGUCCUGAAGGAACGUUGAAGACGACGACGUUGAUAGGCCGGGUGUGUAAGCGCAGCGAUGCGUUGAGCUAACCGGUACUAAUGAACCGUGAGGCUUAACCUUACAACGCCGAAGGUGUUU